UUGCCGCAGCCGCCCGCCGUUGCCUGGCAACCCGGCCGGGCCCCUCCGGCGGAGGGCAGGCCGCGCCCGCCCCGCACCGCCCCGCACCGCGCCCCGCGGGGAUCGCCGGCGGGGCCGGGGAGGUGAGCCGAGCCGCCCUGCCCUGGGAACAGCCUCCGGGCCGGCUGGGAAGAAGUAUAGAAAGAAAGACACUAACAAGAAACUGAGCAUCAUGUCCACCAGUGUCACUUUUUUUUUCUUUCCUGCCAAUGAAGCAGUAACCUGAGGGACUUUAGAUCUCCAGAGUACAGCAAUUAGACAGGAGAAGAGAUUGCUAUUCACAGAGUUCCUCCUUCAGCUCCAGUGGUAUAAAGCGAACUCCUGCUACAUAGAAAAAUUGCUCCAGCAAAAGGAAAACAUUAAAAUUCUAGAAGCUUGGAUUUAUUUGACAUAACACCAACACAGAUCUGGGAUGAUUCCAUUAACACCACCCUGCAGUCAUGCUCUGUUUUUAAAAAGAUAUCUAAAGGUGAGACAUUCUCUGUGGCCUAGAGAGUAAUCUUUACUAUGCUUGGGGUCAGAUUUUUGCACAUAACUUUCUUGACUUUUAUGGUUAUGUAAAUUUAUACCAAUUUAAUAAGUGGCUCAGUAAUUUUCAGACACCAAAAGGAAUGAGCUGAAAUAACAGUAGUUUUUUUCAGAUAGCUGCCUGUAGACACGAUCUAUUUUGUGAUGUUUGAUUCAGAGUAUAAAAAGAUAAAGUAAAACUAAACUAAUUUCUAGGUGUGAUGAGUCAGACUAAAUGAGUUGAUGGAAAAAGAUACAAAUGAAAGGACAGUCCAGUUAAAGGAAGUUAUGGAGAGUAAUGCUUUUAUAUAAACAUUCUUCAGAAUUCAUUUGGCUUUCCAAACCCUGUCUGCAAAUCAAGAAGUGCUUUCCUGUGGCUCACAGAGAUCUCUCUAGUCAUAUGGUGCUAGCUGUCUUUGUUUUCAGUUCAAUUGCAUUAAAACCAGUACAUAUAUAUAUAUAUAUAUAUAUAUAUAUAUAUAUAAUUUUGAAAUUAUUUAUGUAAAUUAUUGAUCUGGUGAUUCCAGUGAGAAUACGUUACUACGGACAGUGUGUGCAAUCAGAAGCAGAAGUGGCCAGCAAGUUCCCAGCUGUGAAGAAAAUGGAUUCAGUGAUGUAGUUUUUCAGGCAGUAUCAGGACAACCCCUGAUUUAUUUCUUAGUUAAAUCAAAUGGCCUAGUAGUAUGAGAGUGAUUUUUUUCAGGGUAACAUAAACCAGAUACAUUUAAAAGAUUUAGUUAGACUAGCUUGUAUUUGUGUUUUCACAGUACCAUAAGGCAUUCACACACAUACUCUCUGACAGCACUUCCAAUAAGAUGAGCUACAGUAUUGUGGAAUAAUAAUUUUUAACUAUUGAAAAUUCCCAUAAAUAUAUAUUACUUUGUGAAGCAGAUACAGAUAAAAUCUUUCUUAAGAUUUUACUUUUUUUCAAGCUGAAAUGCUCCUUUAGGUAUUUAGGAAGUUCAGGUUAAUGUAUCUUAGUCUGGAAAGGCUACAAAGAGUUAUUUUGGUAUUGGAGGCUCCUUUCUUACUUAUUUGAAAUACCUGGUCUACUGCCAUGAACUAGCUCAGCCUAUUGGAUGAAAUGUUCACCUCUGUCUUCCAGCUGCACCUUCAUUUUUCACAUUUUGGAUGUAUCAUUAAAACUCUUGACAAUCAUAGAAUCAUAGAAUAUGCUGAGUUAGAAGGGAGCCAUCAGGAUCAUCGAGUCCAACUCCUGUCCCUGUGUAGGGCACCCCUAGAAUCACACACCAGGUCAGUGUUGUGAAACACCUUUUGUACAAUGUCUUUAAGUGACUUAGCCAGAAAUGCUGUUGGAGUCAUCAGGGUUUCUACCGGUAUUUCAAGAAACAAAAGACCAAUGAACAUAUAGGCAAAUUCCAAGUGAUGACAGAUACAGAUGGAACAUAGGUAAAAAAUACUCACUCCAGCUGAAAGAUGAAGCACCACAGUGAUACACCUCUUUGGAGUGAGAAAUUAAAGCUAGAGCUUCAGAAAGUAGCAUUCUUGGUAUUAGAACCAUCUUAGGCUCCCACAAGCCCAAAUGUCCAGCCAACAUGACCUUCUUCAGAUGGCUGAAAGUCCCAAUAGGGGUGAAAGACAAAGGGAACUCAAGGGAAGGAACAGCUCAUUGAAUAGCCAGGAAACCCAGCAUUAAGGAUUGCUGGGUUGUAGUGAAGCUGAGGAUUGCACCUCUUCAGCAGCAAAACUCCAGCCUUCUUUCUUAAACUAGAAUGGACAUCAUUUAAAGACAACAUGAGAAAAAUUAAUAAGAUACGGACUGAAUAGCAGCAGUGUGAUUUUCUAUGAAUCCAGACACCUGUAAGGUGUCAAAGCAAAAGGCAUCAGUAUUUUUGGAAAACGAGACUGAGGAUGUCAAGCAAGGAGCCAGCAGUCACGAGCUGUUUAAUUUGUGCUGAUUUUCCCAGAACUGUAUCCAAGGAGGAUGUCACGCUUUUCCGUUCUCAAGUUCAACCUUGUCUCUAAGUGCAUUGGCAAGUUUCACCUCUUCUGAAACUGUACUCUCCUGUGAGUUAUUUAUAAACUCCUGCUCCUUCUCAUAAGUAGGACUUCACUCACCUUCCUUCUUUCUGCCUCAAAUUGUUAUAUUCCACUGAUAUGCUUCUGCUUCACAUAUAAACCUGCUUUCUUCCAGCUCCAAGACACGCUAAACUCAAAGGAGAUCAUUCAGAGGAAUGGGAAGGAGGUGUUUACCUUUGGCAGCAGCGAUUUAGGGACAUGUGUAACAUUUAAUGUGUAGAAUCACAGAGGUUCAGCACAUACUCAAACAUCCCUCCUAAGCAUGUGUUCUUAAAAUCCUUUCAACUUCACUAAAAUUGGUAAGUUUCUCUUUUGCACGGAGAGCUUUUCAGAGAUGCCUAUAAGCUGCCAUCAUCAUUUCAUUUCUCUCAACCAUUUUUUGUUGUGUCAGAGAUCCAAACUGCAGGAGGUUAUUUCUGACCUGUGCUGUUUAAGAAAUACGUGGAAUGGAACACAUUUUAGAAAGACUGUAAGAUGGUUGCCUUUGCCCAAAUUGCGAGAUCUGUCUGUACAUGUAUGUCUUUCUGUAACACAAAAAUACAUCACAAAUACCUUGAAAGUCCUACUGUCCUAUUCUUAAAAUAUAUUGCAUAACUAUUUUAAAGUACAGAGCAUGGUUAAAUAAUAAAUAAAGAAAAAAUCAGUUACAUUCUUGACACGCUUCCAGGCAUGAUGUAGGACACAGACAUGUUACCUAAGAAUAUAAUCUUAAUACAAAAGUGUAAUCCCUUCAGUUAACACUUUUGCCAGAAGUGUACUUAGGUCUAAUGCAUGGCUGCAUAGCUCUGCAGUUCAGAAUUAACACUUUGGUUUUUAUUCUUUUUAAUGAGACUAUGUUUUUAGGAGCUUUGCUCAAACAUAAAAAUUAAUAAAGGGUUAAACAUA